CGAACGGGUGAGUAAUGCGUGACCAACCUGCCCCAUGCUCCAGAAUAGCUCUUGGAAACGGGUGGUAAUGCUGGAUGCUCCAACUUGACGCAUGUCUUGUUGGGAAAGUGUUUAGUGGCAUGGGAUGGGGUCGCGUCCUAUCAGCUUGUAGGCGGGGUAAUGGCCCACCUAGGCUUCGACGGGUAGCCGGCCUGAGAGGGCGGACGGCCACAUUGGGACUGAGAUACGGCCCAGACUCCUACGGAGGCAGCAGCU
rnacentral:rRNA from 1 species